AAAUAGAUGUGUAACAUUACUUUUUAGGUCGGCGGUGUCUGCUGAAAGUCAUCUUUAGGUCAUUUUAUGUAGAAUAUUGAAUUUCUGAUCCGUGUGAAAGAAAGAGAAAGAGAUAUAUAAAUAAUUCCGUCUUUAUUGCUCCACAUGUAUUAUUGUGCAAUUUAACUGCGAUAAGACUUCGCUACAUUUCGGGUGAAUGAUGAACAGUGCCUUCGGCUAAUAAUAGGAUGGUUCUUGUUAUUUCGUUAUUUGCAUUUUGUCGGUGUAGUAUGAAUGAAGGAGAUCGGUUUGUUUAACAUUAUUUCUAAUUAAUACGAGUGUCUUGAAGAUAAAAUUUGAAAGUGAAGCUAGAAGAAUUCUGAAGUACCUGUUGUGAUGAUUCAGUCUAGAUCCAAAGCAGUUGUGUACAUAAGGCUUCAGCGACAAGAAGAAAGUAAAAGGAUUUUCGUUUGAUUAAGGAUUCAUGAAAGGUCAAUCAUGGAUAACAGCAAGGAGAAGUAGAAUAUGUAUUGCAGCAAUUGAGCCAAUUGGGAAAUUAGAUAGCAGCUGGAUGUUUUUUCUUCUUUGUUUGACAAUUGAUUGAAGAUAAACUAGUGAGGAGAUUGAAAUUAAUUUUGAUGCUACUGAAAAAAACAAGUUGUCUCCGUCCUAUGUUGAUAACUUUCAAUCUUGAAGUACUUUUAAAUUAUGAGGCAUCGGUUGUAUUAGUCUUCAUUUGCUCCAGAAAGUAGCUGCACCUAUGGUCCCAAGAAAAGCAUGAAACUGCCUUUUUUUCCAUUGGGAAUGGAGACGGUGGCUGUUGCUGAGGAUAUGAUUUAUGACAAUGAACUAGUAUGUAAAAGUAUCAAUUAAAAACAGUAAGUGAGGUCCCUGAAAUUUAAUUUUUUAGACAUUUGUAACUUGCUUCAAUAGACAACAUUUAAACAACAUUUUAGAUGUGGCAGAUGCAGAGUUAAUGUGGAACAGAUCUUUUCAUAAGUGUGAAUGUUACUGAUUUACUUGUUUUAAAAGUGGUAAUUAAUUACUUUUUCUUGCCCGUCUCUAUAGAUUUUCUAACAAGUGAGAAGGAAUUAACUUUGGUGCUACUUAAACAACCGUCGCUUUUGAUGAGAGAUAAUUAAUGUUCAUAGUGAAACAGCCAAAUUCUACAUGGGCGUUGUCUUUCAUUUUGAUGCUACUGAAAAAAUAAGUUGUCUCCUUCCUAUGGCGUUUUAUCUGUUCCAUCUUGAAGGCUGUUAUAGUUAACUGAUUAAGAAUUUAUUCUACAAGAACAUUAGAAGAACUCAAGAUACCAUUAACUUAUGGAGCACUGGUUGUAUUAGUCCUCAUUUGCUAUAGAAAAUAGAUGUACUUGUGGUCUUAAGGAAAGCAUGAAAGUGCCUUUUUUCCAUUGGGAGAGGAGACAGUGUGCUAAAGAAAGGAUUUAUGACAAUGAACUGAUCUUCCAAUAACAGAAGGAAUUAAUUCUGGUGGUACUAAAACAACUGACGCUCUUGAUGUCUUCACCUUACAGCAUGAAGUACUUAAUUUUGGCAUUGAGAAUGGGAGGCAAUUGUACAUUAAUUCGGAAGCUACUGGAACAGCAAAUUAUCUUCAGUGGUUUGUAGAUUUGGUUUGCCUAUCGUACUGGUAGACUUUAGAAUGCUACUUUCAACAACUAAUUCAGAAUAUAUUGAUAUUUGUCAUUCAUCUAUGGAUUUCUGUUUAGCCUUCAUCUAUUAUCCGCAUAAUAAAUUGACGUCGUGUUAUUUGACAUUUAUCUAUGUCGGGAUCUGUGGUUGUGAUACAAAAUAUGAAAAUAACGUUUGUCAUUUAAUGACUUAACUGUUUUACUUGCUUUUUGGUUAUCCAACAGAUGAGAGAGAAUUAAUGUUCAGUUUGGUCAUACUGAAACAGCCGAUGUCUACAUGGGCGUUGUCUUUCGUGGAGUAUAUUUGCUGUUUUGUCCUCAUCUUGCAACAUUAUGCAGUCAAUUUUCAAUCGACGAGUGAGAGCAACUGGAGAUUUAUUCGAAUUCCACUGAAACAACAAAUUUUCUGCCAUGGUAUUUCUCCUGAAGUUGGUUUGCUUUUCACACCUGCAAACUUUGAAACAUUACAUCCUACAGUUAAUAAAGAUCGACGUUGGAGAAGACAGAGAUGACCCCAUAGUUAA
rnacentral:misc_RNA from 1 species